rnacentral:lncRNA from 1 species
AAGUCAGAGACUCACUUCCCUAGAGAAACAGUCCAUUAAUAUGCUAAGCAGGUUAAAUUUCCUUAUCAGAGAGCUCUUAGCCCUGUGUGUCUCUCUUUGACACUUGUAGCACUUUCAAUUUCACAUUUUUAUAUGAUUAUUUUACACCUUGAUGAAUACCUAUUUCCCAGCUAGACCUUGAGAACAUGAGACAGGUUCUGUGUUUGUUUCAUCUGCGUUUGGUUCCUUGUUUUGUUUCAUCCACCACUGUAUCAUCAGCAUCUAGCAUGGUGCCUCUUAAACACAGAUGUCGAUAAAUGUUUCUCACAUAUUUGUAUGUACUAGAGAGGUAGGAAGAGGUAGUGAAUGUCCCAAAUAUUCCUCCUAUUAACAGGUAAAACUAUGGAGGCAUGAACAAUUCAUCCCUCUUAAUGUCCUAGUCUCUGUUCCAUCAGUGCCAUGCCUAGGUGGACCUCACAUCUCUUAGAGAGAAUACUGAACAAGUCUCUCCUUCUUGCUUUCACCUCCUUUUCUAGGUACAAGUUAUCCACCCCACCAUCUAAGGAAAAUAGAUUUCCCUUUGACUCAAGGACACAAAUCCUUCCAUUUCUCCUUGAAUCCCAUUUCUCAGGUCCCAUCCCUGGUCAUACAAAUGUUUUCUUCCUGUUUACCUGAGGAUUUCACUACCACUUCCUGUAUUGCAAUAUUGGAAGUACAUACAUGGACAGUUGGUAAGUAUAAGGCUGUCCCUAAAAUAGUAGCAUUUUAUCUGAGAUAUGUCAGUUUAUCGGUUAACUGGCCAUAUAUAACAGUGCUUCAGACAAUGUGAUUCAAUGUGAUUCCUUUGAGCUUAGCUCUAUUAAAUUGAAGGAGGAAAAAAAAUAAAUGCUUUUUCAAGAAAGGGAAAGUGGCAUGUGAGGGCCCAUUUAGCAGGGGUAUCCAUUCGAAAACAUUAUUAUUAAUGGCUAGGGAAUCCUGUUCAUGGAGAUAGGGUUUGCAGCUCUCGUUUUGAAAUCAGUCCUCUGUGUCUGAGGGUGGUCAUUCGUCACAGGUGGGAAGGCAACUGCUCUUUCUAUCCAGCAGCAGCCAACGAGACCUUCCAAUACCUCAUUCAACCUCCCAG